rnacentral:lncRNA from 1 species
GAACAGGAUCUUAAAGACUAUUUUUGGUACUUGAGAAGUUCUUAUGGUACAAGUCAAGAAAGAUCUUCAAACCAACCCAUCGUAGGGCUUUGACAUUGUUCCUCUUAUGGACUGUGAAGCCCAAGUAGAAGUAAUGUUAUAGUGAUGUGUGACUGCUGCUCAUGGUGUGGGUUUAAACUUCUGAAUUCUAAGCAAAGCCCAAAUGACCCUUUGAAAGGCACACAUGUAUUUGUUGGGAGUUGUAUAGGGGAGACCACUGCACAGAGAAAUGGUGGAUGUCUUCAUUCCUGAACAAUCCAGGGCUUUUGUUACACUUGCAGGUGAUAAGGCCAUGCAGAUAAAUAAAGGAAUCAGCAAGCCUAUAUGCAACUGUACUGGCUAGUUUUGUGUCAACUUGACACCGCUGGAGUUAUCACAGAAAAAGGAGCUUCAGUUGAGGAAAUGCCUCCAUGAGAUCCAACUGUAAGGCAUUUUCUCAAUUAGUGAUCAAGAGGGAAAGGCCCCUUGUGGCUGGUAAUCUUGGUUCUAUAAGAGAGCAGGCUGAGCAAGCCAGGGGAAGCAAGCCAGCAAGGAACAUCCCUCCAUGGCCUCUGCAUCAGCUCCUGCUUUCUGACCUGCUUGAGUUCCAGUCUUGACUUCCUUUAGUGAUGAACAGCAAUGUGGAAAUGUAAGCUGAAUAAACCCUUUCCUCCCCAACUUGCUUCUUGGUCAUGAUGUUUGUGCAGGAAUAGAAACCCUGACUAAGACAGCAACCUAAACUGAAACACAACAGCAACAAUCAGAAGGAAGUGGAUGAUCUGAUGGUAACCCAGGUGGCUUUGGGAAUCAAGGUGGGCUUGGUAGAAGUAGAUGGGGGUGGAGCUGGCUUGGGAAAUAGCCGGGGUAGUGAUACAGUUGGGGAGAUGAAGUUUGGAGGCCAGUGAUGGGAUAUAUUGGGUGUGUGAUGGGCAUGUUGGCCAGAUGAGAAGCAGUCAGGCCCAUCCAGUAAUAACCAAAGCCAGGCCAGCAUGCAAAAGGAACCAUAUCAGCCUGUGGUUCUGGAAAUAGCUCCUACUGUGAUUCUAAUUCUGGUGCCUGUCUUGGCUGGGCAUUGGUGUCAAAUGCAGGAUCAGGCAGUGUCUUUGACUCUGAGGAAGAUUUACUUCAAGUGUAGAUUCUAAAUCGUCUGGCUGGAGAAUGUAG